rnacentral:lncRNA from 1 species
GUGGUUUAACUUAUCUAGUAGUGUAAACUGAUUAAGUUUGACUUGAUUGUAUAUAUCUUUUUUAUCUUUUUAUCUUUUUAUUAUUAUGUUUUUAUUUUUUUUAUUUUUUUUAAAAAUAUAAAAAAGUGCUACUAGGGUUUGUGUUUCUUGUGCAUGCAAUAGGAGACUAGACAUACUAGAAGCAAGAAAAAUACGCAACCUCUUCUUGAAGGCUUAAGCGGAGCAAGAGGGAGAAGGAGAGUCAGACGCCCAUCUAGGGAUUUUUUUCCUUCACCAGACAGAUUACUAUCACCUUCACCAGCUAGAAGAACAGAGGAGAUGGCUAAAAAAACUCCUCCAAGAUGCACUCUUGCAGACCAAUCAGAUACGGUUGGCCC